GACGAACGCUGGCGGCGUGCUUAACACAUGCAAGUCGAACGGAAAGGCCCUGCUUUUGUGGUGUGCUCGAGUGGCGAACGGGUGAGUAACACGUGAGUAUCCUGCCCUUGACUUUGGGAUAACUUCAGGAAACUGGGGCUAAUACCGGAUAGGAGCCCCUGCUGCAUGGUGGGGGUUGGAAAGUUUCGGCGGUUGGGGAUGGACUCGCGGCUUAUCAGCUUGUUGGUGGGGGAGUGGCUUACCAAGGCUUUGACGGGUAGCCGGCCUGAGCGGGUGACCGGGGACAUUGGUACUGCGAUACGGAGCAGACUCCUACGGGAGGCAGCAGUCGCGAAUAUUGCACAAUGGGCGGACGCCAGAUGAAGAGACGCUGCGUGCGGGAUGCCGGCCUUCGGGUUGUAAACCGCUUUCGCAUGUGACGAAGCGUGAGUGACGGUAAUGGGUAAAGAAGCACCGGCUAACUACGUG
rnacentral:rRNA from 1 species